rnacentral:lncRNA from 1 species
GGUGUCUUAGGAGUGGGCCCCACCUAAGACACACCCCUCUCCAAUGCAUUGUGUCUUAGGUGGGUGCUUAAAUCUCCAUUUCCACAAAAUUCACAUUUCUACACUUUUAUUUUUAAAUUCCAAAUUUCAUUAAAAUUUAAAUUAAACAUUGCAAUAAAAAUAAAAAUUACAUAAUUUAAAUAUUAAAAAAAUUACAUAAUUUAAAUAAUUAAGAUUUUAAAAGAAAAAACAAAAAAACAAAACAAAACAAAAUUCCCCACCCCCACCGACUCCCCUUUUCUUCUUCUCUUUCCCCACCAACUCCCUUCCUUCCCCCUUCCCCUCCACCCCUAUCUGCGUCUGUUUUCCAGCAAAACAUUCAGCAAAAAUUCACUCCAAGUCUUUCCUUCGCCAAAAUUCCCAGGUUUUGUACUUUUUUUUUUAAUCAAACCGUGCGCGUGUAGCGCACGAUUUUGCCGAAUUCCGCCAACGCCCCGUGUCUAGGCUUCGCCUCGGCCUCGGAACUGGCCGGGUCUCCAGCGCGGGCGGCACUCCAGCGCACCGGAUCGACGCGAGCUUCGCCUCAAGCGCUGUGGAUGCUCUAAGAUCAAAUUGGAGAGAAAGCAAAGAUGGAUUAAAGGUAGCGAGAGAUAUAUGGAGACAUAAAUUAAAGAUAACGAGAGAUAACCAAAGAGAAAUCCAGACAAAAAGCAUGUUCAAGAUCAACAACUCUACUAUGUAAUAAUUUCCAAAAGACAUGCAAGAAUGGCCAAAAUGUACUGAAGAUUGUGAUUUUGGAUCAGAAAAAACAAGUUGAAAAUUCUUUUUAAAAAAUAAAAGCAUUGUAAACAUGAUAAACAAUAUACUCUCCAAACUUGAAAUUGUGUAACGAUUAAGAGAUUAAAGUCUUUGUUUUGGAGGUAACCAGACUUACUUAUUUUUCAAAGCUUCGCGUCUGUGUGGAGUCGAUUGAAGGGUACCGAAGAAGCUCAAGCUGUAUGAAUGUCGUGAGGAAGGAGAAGCGUAUUGAAGAAGACGGAGAGGUUAAGAUAUCUAUGAAAGUUUAUCAGCUGUUCUUUGUUUGAGUGAAUAGGUAGGUCUCUGUUCAUCUUCUUUAGUUGGUAGUGCCAUU